rnacentral:rRNA from 1 species
GUGGGGAAUAUUGGUCAAUGGGGGAAACCCUGAACCAGCAACGCCGCGUGAAGGAAGAAGGCUUUCGGGUUGUAAACUUCUUUGACAGGGGACGAAACAAAUGACGGUACCCUGAAAACAAGCCACGGCUAACUACGUGCCAGCAGCCGCGGUAAUACGUAGGUGGCAAGCGUUGUCCGGAUUUACUGGGUGUAAAGGGCGUGUAGGCGGGACGGUAAGUCAGAUGUGAAAUGUAGGGGCUCAACCCCUGAACUGCAUUUGAAACUAUCGUUCUUGAGUGAUGGAGAGGCAGGCGGAAGUCCGUGUGUAGCGGUGAAAUGCGUAGAUAUACGGAGGAACACCAGUGGCGAAGGCGGCCUGCUGGACAUUAACUGACGCUGAGGCGCGAAAGCGUGGGGAGCAAACAGGAUUAGAAACCCGUGUAGUCC